rnacentral:lncRNA from 1 species
AGAGAGCCUCGGCUAGGUGUGGAAACAGGAAGAGAACUAGAACUGGAAGUAAAGCAUUGAAGAUGUGACUGAAUUGCUGCAAUCUCAUGAUCAAAUUUGAAUGGAUGAGGAGUUGCUUUUUAGGGAUGAGCAAAGAAAGUGGUUUCUCGAGAUGGAAUCUACUGGUUGCUCCUUGAGGGCAGGACAGUUCUUAUGGCUUUAUCCGUUGCGUAAGCACAGAGAGGUCUGCGAGGUCAAAACUAUUGUCAUGAUAGCAAGAUGCCUGUCUUUUUCAUUUAUUCUCACGGUGUGCAGAGGCUACAUGAUGUGUGAUGACAUCCUCAUUGAUGUUAAUGAAUGGUGCUAUACUUGAAUUUUCUAAGGUGUCAUUAGGUAGGUUUAGCAAUUCUCCUGCCUCAGCCUCCUGCAUAACUGGGACUACAGGGAAGCACCAUUUUCCACAAAACUCUCAAGAAGGACUUGUUGCAACUGGAAAAGCAAUUAAAUGUGAAUCGUGAUCCAGGAGAAAGUAACAACUCACAUAACUCCCAAAUUAAAAGUUUUCCAAAGAUA